GCCUGUAUAGCACAGUGGUAGUGCGUCUGUCUUGUAAACUGAAGCUUGAUUCCAUAAUGGAGAGAGAUACUGGUG
rnacentral:tRNA from 1 species